rnacentral:rRNA from 1 species
UCUUGGUCAUUUAGAGGAAGUAAAAGUCGUAACAAGGUUUCCGUAGGUGAACCUGCGGAAGGAUCAUUAUCGAGUUUUGAUCGGGUUGUAGCUGGCCUUUAACGAGGUAUGUGCACGCCUGGCUCAUCCACUCUCAACCUCUGUGCACUUUAUGUAAGAAACGGUGUAAGCCAGUUAUUUAAUAGUCGGUAAUAAGCCUUUUUUAUGUUUACUACAAACGAUUCAGUUAUAGAAUGUUUACUGCGUAUAACACAAUUAUAUACAACUUUCAGCAACGGAUUUGCUGGCUCUAGCAUCGAAGAAGAAUGCAGUGAAAUAUGAUAAGUAAUGAGAACAGCAGAUCUCAGUGUAUCAUCGAAUCCCUGAACGCCCCUGGCAUUCCGAGGUACUCGCAGGAGUAAGCGUCAUGGAAUUUUCAGGAAUUUUCAACCCUGGGUGAAUAGAGCUUGGACUUGGAGGUUAUUGCUGGAACGCAUUUGUGUUCGGCUCCUCUUGAAAGUAUUAGCUUGAGCCUUUGUGGAUCAGCUUCGGUGUGAUAAUUCUAUACGCUGUUCUGUGAAGCAUGUUUGUGGGUUUAGGCUUUUAAUCGUCCUCUGGAUGGGACAAAUGCAAUUAUCCCUUGACCUCAGAUCAGGUAGG